rnacentral:lncRNA from 1 species
UUUAUGAUAUAAUGUUAGUAUUAGUUCUUUAGAAUGUUUCAAUAUGCUCAAAUUUUAAUAAUAUUUUUAUUUUCCAGUAGAGGUAAUCGACUAAUCUAACAGUUAGUCGAUUAUCUAAUAUUUCGCAAUAAAACUGGAGUUUUCUGCAAGCUAUGAUUGUCGACUAUCUGAUUUAGAUAGUGACUAUCCUGAUGACUGUUUACUAAGAUAGUCGACUAUCAACUUAGUUAGUUGACUAUCUAAUAUUUCGCAUUAAAACUGGACUUUUCCGCAAGGCAUGAUAGUCGACUAUCUGAUUUAGUUAGUCGAAUAACCUCAGC